rnacentral:rRNA from 1 species
AGGUCAAGGUACUAAGGGCACGCGGUGGAUGCCUUGGCGGCGGGAGGCGAUGAAGGGCGUGGCAAGCUGCGAUAAGCCCGGGGGAGCCGCAAGCAGGCGUUGAUCCCGGGAUUCCCGAAUGGGGAAACCUGGGUGGCCGUUGAGGCCACUCGCCGCCGAAAGGCGGUGCGACACCGGGGGAAGUGAAACAUCUCAGUACCCCGAGGAAAAGAAAUCAACCGAGAUUCCCCUAGUAGCGGCGAGCGAACGGGGAGGAGCCCAAACCAGCGUGGUGUCAAAGCCCGUGGGCGUUGCCACGCUGGGGUUGUGGGACACGGCCGGGCGAGGCCACGGACUCGCCGGGGAGUUACAAAUCCCUCCUCUAGCCGAACCACCUGGGAAGGUGGGCCGGAGAGGGUGACAGCCCCGUAGGCGAAAGGGGAGGGACUCCCUGGGCCGUGCUCCCGAGUACCACGGGACACGUGGAAUCCCGUGGGAAGCUGGGGGGACCACCCUCCAAGGCUAAAUACUACCCGCCGUCCGAUAGCGCACCAGUACCGUGAGGGAAAGGUGAAAAGCACCCCGGAAGGGGAGUGAAAGAGGACCUGAAACCGCGUGCCUACAAGAAGUCGGAGCCCCCAUUUGGGGGUGACGGCGUGCCUUUUGAUUAAUGAGCCCGCGAGUUGCCGUCGGUGGCGAGGUUAAGCCGACGAAGGCGUAGCCGUAGCGAAAGCGAGUCCGAACAGGGCGCUCAGUCACCGGCGGCAGACCCGAAGCCGGGUGAGCUACCCCUGGGCAGGGUGAAGGUGGGUUAAAACCCACUGGAGGCCCGAACCGGUGGACAGUGAAAAGUCCUCGGAUGACCUGGGGGUAGGAGUGAAAAGCUAACCGAACCCGGUGAUAGCUGGUUCUCCCCGAAAUGCAUUGAGGUGCAGCCUCGGGCGGUCUGUGCAGGGGGUAGAGCACUGAUGGGGCUAGGGGGGUUUCCUCCGAACCCCGUCAAACUCCGAAUCCCUGCACACAAAGCCCGGGAGUGAGCCCGCGGGGGAUAAGCUCCGCGGACGAGAGGGGAACAACCCAGACCGCCGGCUAAGGGCCCGAAGAGGUGGCUAAGUGGUAAAGGAUGUGGAGCGCCUAAGACAGCUGGGAUGUUGGCUUAGAAGCAGCCAUCAUUUAAAGAGUGCGUAACAGCUCACCAGCCGAGGCGCUCUGCACCGAAAAUGUAACGGGGCUCAAGCCACCCCCCGAAGCCGCGGGUCAGUACCUCCGCUGGAGGUACUGGCGGUAGGGGAGCUUUCCGCUGUAGGGUGAAGGCGGACCCGCGAGGGCCGCUGGACGAGGCGGAAGUGAGAAUGCGGGCAUGAGUACGCGAAAGGAGGGUGAGAAUCCCUCCCCCCGUAAGCCCAAGGGUACCUGGGGAAGGUUCGUCCGCCCAGGGUUAGCCGGGACCCUAAGGUGAACCCGAAAGGGGUAGCCGAAGGGAAGCCGGUUAAUAUUCCGGCGCCACCUGCGGUCGAUGGUACGAGGGGUGACGCAGGAGGGUAGGCGCCGGGGGCAAGUGGCAUGCCCCUCCAAGCGGUUAGGGCGAUGACGGGCGUAGGUAAAUCCGCGCCCCGAGCCUGAGCCGUGAUGGGGAGGUCCCUUCGGGGACCAACGGCGCUGACCCCACACUGCCGAGAAAAACCUCGCGUACCGCUUGAGACCGUAGGUGCCCGUUCCGCAAACCGACACAGGUGGGCGGGCUGAGAAGGCUCAGGGGAGCGGGUUAACCCUCGCCAAGGAACUCGGCAAAUUGGCCCCGUAACUUCGGGAGAAGGGGUGCCGCGUUAGGGUGAACCCAGGGGAAGGGGCAACCCGGAAACUGGGGGAGCCCGAGGCGGUCGCAGUGACAAGGCCCUGGCGACUGUUUACCAAAAACACAGGUCUCUGCUAACUCGAAAAGAGGAAGUAUAGGGACUGACGCCUGCCCAGUGCCGGAAGGUUAAGGGGAGGGGUGAGGCUCCCCUUGUGGGAGCGUAGCUCCGACCCGAAGCCCCGGUAAACGGCGGCCGUAACUAUAACGGUCCUAAGGUAGCGAAAUUCCUUGUCGGGUAAGUUCCGACCUGCAUGAAUGGCGUAACGACUGGGGCACUGUCUCGGCGGGGGGCCCGGCGAAAUUUCAGUCUGGGUGAAGAUGCCCAGUACCCGCGGCUAGACGGAAAGACCCCGUGGAGCUUUACUGCAGCCUGGUAUUGGGCUCCGGUGCAUCGUGUAUAGAAUAGGUGGGAGGCUGUGAAGCCGCCUCGCCAGGGGCGGUGGAGCCGCCAGUGGAAUACCACCCUCGGUGCACUGGAGUCCUAACCUGACCCUGUGAAGAGCAGGGUGGGGACAGUGCCAGGUGGGCAGUUUGACUGGGGCGGUCACCUCCUAAAAGGUAACGGAGGUGUGCAAAGGUCGGCUCAGGUGGGUUGGAAAUCCACCGCAGAGUGCAAGGGCAUAAGCCGGCCUGACUGCGAGGCCGACAGGCCGAGCAGGGGGGAAACCCGGCCCUAGUGACCCGGCGGUCCCGUGUGGAAGGGCCGUCGAUCAACGGAUAAAAGUUACCCCGGGGAUAACAGGCUGGUCCCGCCCGAGAGUUCACAUCGACGGCGGGGUUCGGCACCUCGAUGUCGGCUCAUCCCAUCCUGGGGCUGAAGCAGGUCCCAAGGGUUGGGCUGUUCGCCCAUUAAAGGGGUACGUGAGCUGGGUUCAGACCGUCGUGAGACAGGUCGGUCCCUAUCUGCCGCGGGCGUAGGAGGCUUGAGGGGGGUCCUCCCUUGUACGAGAGGACCGGGAGGAGGGGGCCUCUGGUGUACCGGCUGUCGCGCCAGCGGCAUACGCCGGGUAGCUAUGCCCCUAAGCGAUAACCGCUGAAAGCAUCUAAGCGGGAAGCGCGCCCCAAGAUUAGGCCUCCCAUCCCGUUAAGGGAGUAAGGCCGGUCCGAGAAGAGGACCUUGAUAGGCCGGGGGUGUAAGCGCCGCAAGGCGUUGAGCCCACCGGUACUAAUCGGCCGAGGCCUUGACCUCCGAAAUC